rnacentral:rRNA from 1 species
AUUAAUAAGCGGAGGAAAAGAAACUAACGAGGAUUCCCUCAGUAACGGCGAGUGAAGCGGGAAGAGCCCAGCGCCGAAUCCUCCGCCGUUGCGGCGGCAGGAACUGUGGCGUUCGGGACGGUCCAUGGGCGUCGACGAGGCAGCCCGAGUCCUCCUGAUCGGGGCUUCACCCACAGCGGGUGUCAGGCCUCUACGGCAGUCGGUCGGCGUCCUACCGGUUCGUCCUUGGAGUCGGGUUGUUUGAGAUUGCAGCCCAAAGCGGGUGGUAAACUCCAUCUAAGGCUAAAUACUGACACGAGUCCGAUAGCGCACAAGUACCGUGAGGGAAAGUU